CUUUUUAUUAAGACAAGUACUCUUCUGAUUUUUUUUUUCCUUUUGUAAAAAUGUUGGCGUGAACCAAUACAAAAUAUGCAUGGCCAUAUGAGAAACAUCCUCUUCACUACACAAAAGAAAAUAUGCCACCUGGGAAUAGAGAGAAAUUUAAGAUUCAACAACAUAAACAACCAUUGUGGGGUUAUAAAACAAGCGACCCACCCACCCUGCUCCCGACCCUUCCCCACGCCGCCGCCCCAGGCUUUAAACAUAAAGUUCAUCCAAAUAUCCAAGACGUUACAGAUCGUUGAUAAAACUUCAUGUCACAGUAAAUACACCAUCUUCAUCUAUGAAUGCAAACAGAUGCUUGAUUGACUGUCUGUGGUCACAUCCUAUAAUUACUAAAUAACCGAUACUGCAUGAGCAAAAUGUUACAGUGGAGGAGGAAGAAGAAGAAGAGGUUUCAUGAACAUCAUCGUGAUUUUGUUGACACUGACUGUACAUCAUUUUUGUCUGCUUAACAAAUCUAGUUUUUCUUUCUUUGUGAACUAGGUCUAUGCAAAAUAAUUAACGUUUACUGUAACAGUGCACCAUAUUAAGAACACAUAAACUUGUACAACUGAGAAAAACAUGUACAUCCUGUGGUUUCUUUACUUUUUCGAAUAGCUGUGGUACUACAGUAUAUACUUGGGGCCAUAAAUUUGCAUUCUACCUGAGAUGCAAAAAAACACAACUAUUAACACUCAUGAACCUGAGAGAGUGAAAACAAACAUACUCAAUAUCAAGUAUUUCAAAAUAACAAAAUCAAAAACGGAAUUAGAACGAUGCUUCCGGCGAUCUUUUAACGUUGCCCCAUUAAAAGCAGCAAUCGCCAUUUAAGAUAAAUAUCAAAUCCCAGAAAACAAAAAGGUCAUGCACAUAACUGUUCCCAUGACACUGUAACUACAAUCCAGAAAAGUUACUUUUAUUGUAGCUUAUUAUAGCUUUAAGUACAGUAUUCCUCUCUGAUAAUACAGUACUACAGAGCCUUGUCCUUGAAAAUAUCCAAAUAAAUAAUAAAUGAAGUGAAGCUGAGAUAAUAACACUUUUUUUGUGGUCAUUAAUUAAGACAAGUACUAUAUCCUGGAAUACAACAUUCUAGUCAGUGGAAGCUGCCAAUACUUUUUUUCUUUUCCAGCUUUAAACUCAUUCCAGCUUUUUUAUGCUGCAGGUUGUAAUUGUGAUGCCGCUCUAUGGUGCGCGGACAGACGACUGGGAUGAGUAUUGGCCCUGUAAGUUAAAAAGGACGGAUAUAUACAAGGUAUACUGUAAGAGUGUACAUGAGGAUACUGUAUGAUACUAACCAUAUGCCUCAAAAUCAAAGGAGAAGGCACUAAAUUAAGUCCUUCAGUCUUUUCCUUUAUAAUGAUAAGUAUCAAGAGGUGGGUUUAAGGCAGUGGUUAUCCUUUUUCAUAAUACAUUUACAGAUUUUUUUUUCCUCCAUUAUUUUAGGCAAUACACUGAAAUCACUCGCUAAUUACCAAACGGAUUUUCCUCUUCUAGUCAGAGAUGAAGCGCGCGCCGUGUGCACACUGCCGAUUUGUGUUGUCGAACAAAAAGAGAGAAAUUUCUAACAGCAGACACUUCGUCUGUGAAGGUUUGUGGCUGCAGGAUGACAGUAAGAAAAUUAUCUUUCCCCCAAGUCUAAAGCUAUCUGCAAAUCUUUGAUAACUUGUAUGGCCAAGAGCCCUCGCAAGUUAUCAAAGGUGAAAUGUCUAAAAACACAGCAAGAAAAUAUAACUCAUUCAUAUUUGCAGCAAUACUUGUGUAUGGGUAAGGGCAAAAAAAAAUAAAAAUAAGCUGUGAAUUUUUUGUUCACGUGCUGUAUUGACAGAGACGUGCCAGGAUAUUUUACAUGGGCAGGAAACACUGAAGGCCUAACAUUCUUUCUUCCCUUAGAUACGGCAAAUAAAAGGGUAAAACCUUGGAAAAUUAAUAACUCAAGGCCUUUUAACAUCUCCCAGUUAACUGGCCAAUAUAGUGUGCCAUCAAAUAAAGUCAGUUAUUUAGCGAGAAGCUCACUGCAAAGCUCUAUGCUUUACACAAGCUAUACUUGCUGUAUACUGUAUAAGCGCACUAUAAUUAUUAGAUGUGGUCCAAGGUAGACUACGUGGGUGGUAUGAAAAGGUGACAAAUGUCAUAUUUAAAACAAAAGCGAACAGACACAUGGCAGGGUAUACCAACAGCUAAUGAAUACCAUUAAAUAAAAUGUUACGAUCAGUGUAGCAGGACCUAUUUUGUGUAAGGCGUGUAUGUGUGAAUGUAAAGUUUGACCCAUAAUAACACCUGCAAACAGAGUCUUUUGGGUCAAUAACUACUGAAGAGGGGUAGAAUCAGCUACACUUACAAGCUGCAGUGAAGCUCAAGGUAGCCAAGUCUCAAGCUAGCUGGCUGUUGGCUGUAGUUUUCUAUUUAUCAUAGAGACAUCAAGC
ensembl:lncRNA